GCCUACAGCCAUGCCACCCUGAACAUGCCUGAUCCCAUCUGAUCUCAGAAGCUAAGCAGGGUUGGGCCUGAUUAGUACUUGGAUGGGAGACCACCUAGGAAGACCAGGUGCUGUAGGCA
rnacentral:rRNA from 1 species